rnacentral:rRNA from 1 species
AUGGAAAAAGGAACCCAUGUUUCCAUCAAUUUGGGGACUUCUUCAACCUUUCUUGGAUAUGCAUGGAAGUUGUGGAAAGAGGAAAGAUGGCUUGAGUUCGUCGACGAAUCAAUAGUUUCAGAGUCACAUGCAUCAGAGAUAAUGAGGUGUAUCAACAUCGCAUUGCUGUGUGUGCAAGAGAAUGCAGCUGACAGACCCACCACGACAAGCAUGGUUGCAAUGCUAAGCAGCAAAAGUAUGACCCUGCCUGAACCUAAGCAUCCGGCAUAUUUCCACAUAAGGGUAACGGAGGAAGAGCCACCUAGUGCUAAUGAUGUGACGAUGUCUGCUCUACAGGGCAGAUAG